UACGGGGGGGGCAAGCGUUGUUCGGAAUUACUGGGCGUAAAGGGCUCGUAGGCGGCCAACUAAGUCAGACGUGAAAUCCCUCGGCUUAACCGGGGAACUGCGUCUGAUACUGGAUGGCUUGAGUUUGGGAGAGGGAUGCGGAAUUCCAGGUGUAGCGGUGAAAUGCGUAGAUAUCCGGCGGAACACCGGUGGUGAAGACGGUCUCCUGGGCCGAGGGCCGACGCUGAGGAGCGAAAGCGUGGGGAGCGAACAGG
rnacentral:rRNA from 1 species